ACUGAAAAAAAGAAAUUGAAUAUGAAAGUUUUUUGCUUAAUAUUCUUGCUUGUCGUAUUGCAAGUACAUUUCGGCGAAUCUGCAUCGCAGAACCCAGACAUUAGUAGUUCGGGUAGAAGGCGAAGAUAUCGUUGGAAUAACCAGAUGAGAAUAUUGGAUUUGGAUAGAAAUGACAAGGUCGUUGCGGGUGUUUUGCCAAGAAUGAAUAACCAAGCAGCUACAAAUGUAAAGAUGGCAUGAACACAACAUUCUUGUAGACGAUUAUCUCAAACCGAGUCUUACG